rnacentral:rRNA from 1 species
UACGAAGGGGGCUAGCGUUGCUCGGAAUCACUGGGCGUAAAGCGCACGUAGGCGGACUCUUAAGUCGGUGGUGAAAUCCUGGAGCUCAACUCCAGAACUGCCUUCGAUACUGAGAGUCUCGAGUCCGGGAGAGGUGAGUGGAACUGCGAGUGUAGAGGUGAAAUUCGUAGAUAUUCGCAAGAACACCAGUGGCGAAGGCGGCUCACUGGCCCGGUACUGACGCUGAGGUGCGAAAGCGCGGGGAGCAAACAGG